CCGUAACGCGGCGACAGUAAUUCCCGCGCGUCGGGGAUCGAACGAUCCUCUCGAAAAUCGCGCUCGAGCCUCGGCGUUCGAUUCCUUCUGCUAAUCGUUCGCUCGUUAGUAGCGUCGGGACGGACAACAGGCGUUUCAUUGUGGGCCCGGAUGUCGCGCGUUGUCACCUACGCUCAUUGUGCCGCGAAAAUGACCCGUCAGCUCGGAAUACAAUCCAGAAAAAGCUGAAGCUCCGUGAGCUUUGGAUCGACGAGAGGAAUCCCCAAUUUGACGCGCGAUUGUUCCUAUAUCGACUCGCGUUGAGGGUCUCGAAGCACCGUGUAAAAUAUGCAGACUUACGAGUGGUCGGGAGACGAUUUUUCACCGUGGAUGCAGCCGGGUAUUGGACGUGGAGGUGGCGCGGCCCACGCAGGUGGGACAGGUGACGACGAGGCUCCGAAAGAUCCCGGUGCUCGGAUCACUCAUCAGUCUUACACCGAGAAAGACUACGAAGGUCACAGGGCGCACACCGUGUACGUGGGCGUGCAUCUGCCCGGCGAAAGGAGACAUCGUCGUCACCACAAGCACCAUCAUUCCCAACGUCAGUCGUACACCACCGACAAGGAGAAUAAUGUCGACAACGACAGGCCCAUCACACCGCCGGCCCAGAGGGUGCAGUUCAUCCUGGGCGAGGAAGUCGGGGACGAUGCUCACGAGUCCCAUCCACUCUUCUCCGAGAUGGAGGAGCUCGUCAGGGAUGGCGACGAGAUGGAGUGGAAGGAAACAGCCAGAUGGAUCAAAUUCGAGGAGGACGUCGAGGAGGGUGGAAACAGAUGGAGCAAACCUCACGUAGCGACCCUCUCCUUGCACUCCCUGUUCGAGCUGAGAAGCCUGCUGCUAAAUGGCACCGUGAUGCUGGACAUGGAGGCGGCGAGCCUGGAACAAAUCACCGAUCUGGUCCUCGAUAACAUGAUUAAUAAGGGCUCGUUGCCAAUAGAGUCGCGGGAAAAGGUCAGGGAAGCCCUGUUGGUGAGGCAUCGACACCAGCACGAGAGACGCAAGGAAAACAACAUGUCCAGACUGCCGAUCAUAAGAUCGUUGGCCGAAAUCGGACGAAACCACUCAUCGUCGAAGAGUUACAACUGUACAUGUGGUUUGCAUGAGUUGUUGACGUCAGAUUUACAGGAGCGUCGCGACGCUGGGGACGCGUAUGCGCCCUCGGUAGGUCGCAGCAGCAGCUGCCCGAAUUCGAACACGGCUCUGCUCUCGAAAGAAGCGAAAGAUCUGAAAGGACCGUACCUUCUGGUUCCAGGCCAGGAGCCAGCCACCAACGGGAUGGAUCGCAGCCCCAGCAGCGUGUCAAUUAGCAGGAAUCACAGCUCGUCCGCUUUGGAGAACGGAGACGUGAAUCACAGGGGUAACACACACUUCAUGCGAAAGAUACCAGCGGGUGCCGAGGCGAGCAACAUUCUCGUGGGGGAGGUAGAUUUUUUAGAUAAAACCCUGUCGGCGUUCAUUCGGCUCAGCCAGGCGGGGAUCAUGGGCGACCUGACGGAGGUUCCUGUGCCGACGAGGUUCAUAUUUGUCCUGCUGGGACCUACGGGUGGGAUCUCCGGUUUCCACGAGAUCGGUCGCGCCAUGGCCACCCUGAUGUCCGACGAGGUGUUCCACGACGUGGCUUACAAGGCGAAGAACAGGAACCAUCUGCUGGCGGGGAUCGACGAGUUCCUGGACGCUGUCACAGUGCUGCCACCUGGGGAGUGGGAUCCAGCGAUCAGAAUAGAGCCACCCGCCGCGAUUCCGUCGCAGGAGGUGAGGAAGCGACCAAAAGAGGAGAAGCCAAAGGAGGACCUGGACGAGGAGGCGGACGAGCAGAAGCUGAGAGAGGAAUCCGGGCUCUCCAGAUCCGGGAGACUGUUUGGAGGUCUGGUCAACGACGUGAAGAGGAAAGUACCGUUUUAUCUGUCGGAUUUCAAAGAUGCCCUGGCUAUCCAGUGCGUGGCGUCGUUCAUUUUCCUCUAUUUCGCCUGUCUGUCGCCCAUAAUCACGUUUGGUGGCCUGCUGGGCGAAGCCACGGGGAAGAACAUGGCCGCCAUGGAGUCGCUGGUCUCCGGUUUCGUGUGUGGCGUCGGCUACGGUCUCUUCUCCGGGCAACCCUUGACCAUUCUAGGUUCCACCGGGCCGGUAUUAGUGUUCGAGACCAUCGUCUACGAGUUCUGCAAGAAAUCCGAGUGGAACUACAUGUCCUUCCGUUUUUGGAUCGGCUCGUGGAUAGCCUUGAUUCUCUUGAUCCUGGUGGCGAUCGACGCCAGCGCCCUCGUGUGCUACAUCACGCGAUUCACGGAGGAGAACUUCGCCACCCUCAUCGCCUUUAUCUUCAUUUACAAGGCUAUCGAGAACGUGCUGUCGAUCGGGAAGAAGUACCCCAUCAACACUCACGCGAACGACCAGUUCGAUUACGAGUGCUGGUGCAAGCCACCGAACGGCAGUCUGCCCUCCAGCUACGACCACGUAAAUUGGACGGCGCUGGAUCAAAAAGCGUGCCAGAUUUACAAUGGCACGCUGGUGGGCGACGGCUGCAACCAGCCCCACUACAUACCCGAUGUGUUCCUCAUGUCAAUUAUACUAUUCAUGGGCACCUUCUUAUUAUCCGUCGAGCUCAAAGACUUCAAGAAUGCGCUCUUCUUCCCGUCGAAGGUCAGACAGGUGGUCAGCGAUUUCGCGGUGAUCAUCGCGAUCUUCUCAAUGAGCGCAUUGGAUCACAUCGUCAACAUCCCCACCCCAAAAUUGGAGGUUCCUGUGGAGUUCAAGCCGACGUUGCACGACCGAGGAUGGAUCAUCUGGCCUUUCCAACAUAAUCCAUGGUGGAGCGCCAUCGUGGCGAGUCUGCCAGCUCUGCUGGGCACUAUACUGAUCUUCAUGGACCAGCAGAUCACCGCAGUGAUAGUCAACAGAAAGGAGAACAAGCUGAAGAAAGGGUGUGGUUACCACCUGGACCUGUUCAUCCUAGCGAUCCUCAUAGAAGUUUGCUCCGUGAUGGGUCUGCCCUGGUUCGUCGCAGCUACAGUACUCUCUAUCAAUCAUGUGAACUCGUUGAAGCUGGAAUCUGAAUGUGCUGCACCUGGCGAGAAGCCUCAGUUUCUGGGCGUUCGUGAGCAACGUGUCACCCACAUACUGAUCUUCCUGAUGAUCGGUUGCUCUGUCCUCUUGACACCGAUGCUGAAGCAUAUUCCCAUGCCAGUGCUGUUUGGAGUUUUCCUCUACAUGGGCGUAGCCUCCCUGAAGGGGCUGCAGUUCUUCGACAGGAUUCUAAUCAUGCUGAUGCCAGUCAAAUACCAGCCUGACUACAUGUUCCUCCGACAGGUUCCCUUGAAACGAGUGCACCUGUUCACGGCUAUGCAACUGGCUUGUCUGUCGUGUCUGUGGCUGAUAAAGUCCUUCAGCAGUACCUCCAUCCUCUUCCCACUGAUGCUGGUGGUGAUGAUCGGGAUACGCAAGUCCCUGGACCUGGUGUUCACUCAACGCGAGCUGAAGAUCCUGGACGACGUGAUGCCCGAACCGAGCAAGAAGCACGCCGACGAUCUCCGCCAGCUGGAGAGUGGCGAGGAGCAGAACGAGUUGGGGUACGGGCCGUCUGACAACAUACAGAUCUCGUUGGCCAACGGCAACAUCAUGAAAAUCCCUAUGGCGAGCAUCAACAUCAGCGAGGAGGUGAACAAAACUGGGAUUUGGCAGCAGGUGAACGAGUGCAACGAGAAACCGAAGCAACCCAAGUUGAUCAACGCCGGUAAACAAAAGAAGCACUCGAAAAAGGAUAGCUCGUUGAUGGCAGACGAGACUACGAGGCUGACUACGAUGACCGAAGAGGACGAAGACGACAGUGGGAUCUCUAUCAAGGUGACACACGUAAAUGACUCUAAAUUCUAACCACCACCAUCACCAAUCCGAUAAAUCACAUGGCAAGACACACAGCAAGAGCACCAAUACACGGGCAUGCAACAUACCCCCUGUACGCUACUGUAGACCUGAUACGAUCGAAGGAGAGCAUCUGCCCGUUGUCGGUGAAUGGCACUACUUCGGCCGAGACUUCCGUCUAACAGUCCACCAGGAGGUUAGCUACAGACCACCCCUGGACGAUCGAAGAAACUUUCGGUUUUGUCGUAGCCUUAAUUUCGUCGAUUACAUUCCAAGCUUCCAAGAGAGAAACGCUGGUCGAGUGCAAUUAUACAGAGUGCCACCUAGCGGAUUAAAUUCGCGAUAAACGGGAAACGCACACCGUCGAAAUAAACUAGACUUAAGAUUCGACUCGCGAGCGCGACAACAACCGCUGGAUCUCGAACCCACGCUAGCCCCAGCGUGCAAUAACGUUAUUUAUAAUUUUAACAAAAUGAAUAGCCAAAUGUAGUUCGUACCCCGUAGCAAAUAUGCCAAAGAAACCCCUGCAAACGAUACGUCGACGUUUCCUUCGAGGGAUGUCUCGCAAAAAAACGAAGCUUGUCGCCAGAGAUUGUUCGUUCCCUCUCGAAGCUCACGAGACAAGUCGAGAACACCGGCCAGCUGCGACAAUAUUUAAACUAUUACAAAUGUACAGCGAUUUUUUUACGCCCUCAACGGUCGAGAGAACUUCCCCCGCGCUAAAGGAUAACCGGGAAGGUGUUCGUAACGGGAGCAUCGACGUGCGCCACGGAGACAAUUUUUUUCACGUUUUUUAUCGAAAAUCCUAGCUGAAUUAUAAUACGAACGAUGACAAUUUUUAUCGUACUGAUGGUCUUUCACCCAGCGCCCGCAACGAACGUUGCACGGGACAAACUGUUGCUUCCUUGUUUCCGCCGAUCUCCGCUCGACGUGGACGAAACUGGCGCGCGAAUCGCAAGGGGAGAAAAUUUGAUACAAUAUUUUUCAGACGAUUACACAAGCGUUUACACGAACCUUCGAGAGAGACUUUACCGAGAAUAUCGUUGGGACGAGCCAACGUGUUUGAAAGAAAGUGUUGACGUAGUUGACGUAGAAUUAAGAAACAGUUUCAGGAGUAACCGCGUAACGUUUUAUGGAACACUCCUGUGUCGAUGUACGUAUGCGUAUAGCGAAGUAUGGAGCGGCUAG